rnacentral:lncRNA from 1 species
UCUAAGUGAGAAUAUGAGGAAUCGAAUUCAGAUUCACUCCAGCGUUUGAGUGCAGACAAUGAAACAGGCCUUCUUGUUCCACUACCAUAAAUACCUGAACAAUGCCAAAUAUUAAUAUCAGGACUCUCCACUUCCUUUCUUCCUGCUGAAGUGACUUCAAUGUUCACAUCUUCUUCAUCACUGUCACUUAACACAAUAAUAUCAUUGAUA